rnacentral:rRNA from 1 species
CCUACGGGAGGCAGCAGUGAGGAAUAUUGGUCAAUGGACGAGAGUCUGAACCAGCCAAGUAGCGUGAAGGAUGACUGCCCUAUGGGUUGUAAACUUCUUUUAUAUGGGAAUAAAAUGUUCCACGUGUGGGAUUUUGUAUGUACCAUAUGAAUAAGGAUCGGCUAACUCCGUGCCAGCAGCCGCGGUAAUACGGAGGAUCCGAGCGUUAUCCGGAUUUAUUGGGUUUAAAGGGAGCGUAGGUGGAUUGUUAAGUCAGUUGUGAAAGUUUGGGGCUCAACCGUAAAAUUGCAGUUGAAACUGGCAGUCUUGAGGACAGUAGAGGUGGGCGGAAUUCGUGGUGUAGCGGUGAAAUGCUUAGAUAUCACGAAGAACUCCGAUUGCGAAGGCAGUUCACUGGACUGCAACUGACACUGAGGCUCGAAAGUGUGGGUAUCAAACAGGAUUAGAUACCCCGGUAGUC